rnacentral:rRNA from 1 species
UACGAAGGGGGCUAGCGUUGCUCGGAAUUACUGGGCGUAAAGGGCGCGUAGGCGGAUGUCUAAGUUGGGGGUGAAAGCCCGGGGCUCAACCUCGGAAUAGCCUUCAAUACUGGAUAUCUUGAGUUCGGGAGAGGUGAGUGGAAUGCCGAGUGUAGAGGUGAAAUUCGUAGAUAUUCGGCGGAACACCAGUGGCGAAGGCGACUCACUGGCCCGAGUACUGACGCUGAGGCGCGAAAGCGUGGGAGC